rnacentral:rRNA from 1 species
AUACGGAGGAUCCGAGCGUUAUCCGGAUUUAUUGGGUUUAAAGGGAGCGUAGGCGGGAGAUCAAGUCAGCUGUGAAAUGUAGAUGCUCAACAUCUGCACUGCAGUUGAAACUGGUUUUCUUGAGUGCGUAAGGGGCAGGCGGAAUUCGUCGUGUAGCGGUGAAAUGCUUAGAUAUGACGAAGAACUCCGAUCGCGAAGGCAGCCGGCCGGGCCGCGACUGACGCUGAAGCUCGAAGGUGCGGGUAUCGAACAGGAUUAGAUACCCUGGUAGUCUGCACAGUAAACGAUGGAUACUCGCUGUCGGCGAUAUACGGUCGGUGGCCAAGCGAAAGCGUUAAGUAUCCCACCUGGGGAGUACGCCGGCAACGGUGAAACUCAAAUGAAUUGGCGGGG